rnacentral:tRNA from 1 species
GGAGAGGUGUCCGAGUGGUUUAAGGUGACGGUCUCGAAAACCGUUGUGCGGCCAAAACCGCACCGUGGGUUCGAAUCCCACCCUCUCCGCCA